AAAAUUAGGGUCUCUACACCUCUCAUCCCUCUCAUCUCUGUUAAACAUUCGUUAAACCUCCCUCUCUACUCAUAUGCUAACGCCACUGCUGAAAUCCUCUCAUCCCAGAUCUCUCUCAUUUUUGUUAAACCUCCAUCUCAUCUCUGUUAAACCUCCCUCUAUACUUAUACACUAACGACGAACGACAGUGAACACCAAAUGACAAACGAUGAAAAAAAACUCCUCACCUACUGGCGCGAUGCCUCUCAUACGCUAACGAUGUCGAAAGCUCAUCAUUACGUACUAGAAGAAAAUGAAUCUGAGAGUAAUAAGGAACCACUACAAUUACUUCAAGUUCGCAGAUAAUGAUGAUGACGACAUUACCUCCACAAUCUGUUCCAAUGCUAGUCCUUGGAAAGCUAUAAGAACAAAAGAAUUUAACGAUCUAAGGACAAGGCUUUGUGAGGUGGACAAUGAAAUUUAUGAGCAUGGUAGAAGGCUUAAAAGGAUAGAGAAGAAUUUCAAGGCAAUGAUUUAUGUCAUUGUAUUUUGUGUCUUUUUGUACUUUAUCAUCUAAAUGGCUAACUUGUUAGGUUUUGGCCAAUUUCAUGAAUGUAAUCAAAAACUUGUUUUGUAUUUUGUGUAUUUUUCUACUUUAUCAGCUAAAUGACUGACUUGUUAGGUUUUCUAGAAUUUCAUGAAUGUUAUAAAAAAAACUUGUUCUGUA